AGCGCGGACCCGGGGAUGGGUCGCGGGGGCGGGGAGAAAGGAGGGACCGUGGGCGCGUGCGCGUGCCGAAGGACGAGAAGGAGAGAUCUGGGCGUGCCCGUGGGACCUCAGCUGUGUGUGGCCGAACGUGACACGCACGUGUGCGUGUCAGAGAGGAGGGGUGUUUUGCAGCUCUUCUUUCUCAGGGGAGCAUCAAGGAAGACAAGCCCAAGGCCCAAGAUACUGCAUUCCCAGCAGAUGCCUUACACGCCCUUUCUUCGUGGGGUCCCCAAGGAGACAGACACACACAAGCAGAGGGAUUGUUGCCACACUUACUGGUCCCAGAGCACAUGUGGCUGGUGUUGCAUGUCAUCACAUCCUCCAAGCCUCCCCUGCCCGGCCCUAAAGGGGAUGCAGACCACGCAGAAGCCUGUGACAUUUAAGGAUGUGGCUGUAGACUUCACACGGGAGGAAUGGGGCCUGCUGGGCCCCACACAGAGGAUCCUAUACCGUGACGUGAUGCUGAGGAACUACAGCAACUUGGUGUCCCUGGGACUUCCCGAUUGCAAACCAGAUGUGAUCUCCAAGCUGGAGCAGUGGGAAGACCCCUGGACUGUGAAGAGAGAUGUCCCAAGAGGUCCAGACUCAGAGCCUGGGCCCCGAGCUGCAUGGCUGCCUCUAGAGAAGGGCGCUCUGCGUCAGGGGCAGAUGACAGUAGGACUCACAGGGCAGGAUUUCUGGCACACCAUCCAGAAAGAAGUCACAGGACAUGAAGGCCAGGUGGCAGACAGACAAUGCCAAGCAGUGACACUCAGCCAGGGAAAGAAGAGCCCAGAGUGGAGCUUUGCAGGAACUUUCUCCUGGCACCCAUUCCUCACUGAGCAUCAGUGCAAUCCUCCAAGGGCUCAAGCUCCCACAAGCCACGUUGGCAAAGAGGGCCUCACCUGCAUUUCAGUCCUAGAUCAGGGGCGCCCCUGCCAAGAAGAAAGAGUGUGUAUGGAAGCCCUCAGCUCUUUUCCAGACCUUAGUCACCCACAAGGAGCUCACAUCGAGGGGGACACAUUGGUGUGUGGUGGGUGGGGAGAUGCCUUUGGCAAGAACACAUGCCUUGUGGGCUGUCAACAGAUUCCCAAUAAACGGAAGCCCUACACGUGCGAGGAGUGUGGGAAGGCCUUUGGACAGAGCACACAUCUCGUUCAACACCAGAGAACCCACACUGGUGAGAAGCCGUACACGUGCCAGGAGUGUGGACGGGCCUUCAGCAAGAACUCGUCCCUGGUUAAGCACCAGCGCAUCCACACAGGUGAGAAGCCCUAUGCGUGCAGCCACUGCGGCAAGCACUUCCGAGAGAACUCCUCCCUGGCCAAACACCAGCGAGUGCACACGGGCGAGAAGCCGUACACCUGUGGUGAGUGUGGGCGCGCCUUCAGCCAGAGCACUCACCUCGUGCAGCACCAGCGGAUCCACACUGGGGAGAAGCCGUUCGCCUGUUGUGAGUGUGGCAGAGCCUUUGCUGACUCCUCAGCCCUCCUGGUCCACCAUAGAACCCACACAGGAGAGAGGCCUUACGAGUGCCGCACGUGCUGCAAGGCGUUCAGCCUCAGCUCAUCGCUGGCCGAGCACAAACGCUGCCACACAGGAGAGAAGCCAUACGCAUGCCGGGAAUGUGGGAAAGCCUUCAGCCAGAGCUCAUCCCUCAGCAAGCACCUGAGGACACACACGGGUGAGAAGCCGUACACAUGCGGGGACUGUGGCCAUGCUUUCAGCCAGAGUUCCUCCCUGGCCAAACACCAGCGGGUGCACACUGGCGAGCGGCCUUACGUGUGUAGAGAAUGCGGAAAGACCUUCAGCCAGGGCUCCUACCUGACCCAGCACCUCAAGAUCCACAGCGGCGAGAAGCCAUUCAUAUGCAGUGAGUGCAGGAAACCCUUCGGCGAUUCUUCAGCCCUAGUCCUGCACCAACGGGUGCACACGGGUGAGCGACCCUACAUGUGUGGAAAAUGCGGGAAGACCUUCAGCCAGAGCAAGUUCCUCACCCAGCACGAGAGGAUACACACUGGGGAGAAGCCCUUUGUGUGUGGUGACUGUGGAAGGGCCUUCCUGCAGAGCUCCUCCCUCACCCUCCACCUCAGGACACACACUGGGGAGAAGCCUUACAAGUGCAAUGAGUGUGGCAAGGCUUACAUCCAGAUGUCGCACCUCACUGAGCAUUACCGGGUGCACACAGGGGAGCGGCCCUACGUGUGCAAUGUGUGCAGCAAAGCCUUCAGCCGCGGCACACACCUCAUGCAGCACCAGCGUGUCCACACGGGCGCCAAGCCCUUCAUAUGCAGCCUGUGCCGGAAAACCUUCUGCGAGGCUGCAGCCCUCAUUCUGCAUCAGAGGGUUCACGCUGGACAGAAGCCCUUUGAGUGUCACAAAUGUGAGAAAAACUUCAGCCAGAGCAGAUCUCUGGUCCAGCAUCGGAAAAUUCAUUCCCAGGGGACACCAUGAGUGCAGCGAGUAUCAGAAAACCCUCAGCAGCUGUUUGGUUCUCAUCCAUCCGUGAACUGGGGGUGUGCCAAACAUGGCAGAGACCUGGCUGUCCUUCAUCCGGCGGAGGGUCCUGGUGGUCGGGCCCAAGAACCAGCUAAAUCCAGCUCCAUGGGUUUGAAGUCCGGCACUACCCAAAUGCGCUCUGGGUCUUUACGCUCUGCCUCAUGUUCCUUGUCUGUAAAUUGGGGAUAGUGACCCCCUCCCCGCAAGGACUUAACAUGUUAACUUGAAGAGAAAAAGUACGUCCAGUGUGAGUGUUGUUCCACCAGGAAGCAGUUUCCGCCAGAGGCAGAACCUGUGCCUAUGGUACAUGACAGAAGAGAAUUUGCAGAUGGGGAAGAGUAUCCUGGGUCACCAGGUGGAUACAAUGUCAUCACAAGAUCCUUCUAAGUGAAAGAGAGAGGCAAAGAGGGUCAGUCAGAGAAGGAAAUAAGACGACAGUGAAGCAGACAUGAAACAAGGAAAGUGGAGGAGGCAAGGAAAUAGGUUUUCACCUGGAGCCUCUAGAAGGAACUGGCCCUGCCACCAGGGCGAUUUUAGCCCCAUGAGACCCAUUUUGGACUUCUGACCUCCAGAAAUGUAAGGUAAUAGAUUUUUGUUCUUAUAAGCUACUAUGUUUGUGGUAAUUUGUUAGAGCAACAACAGGAAACCAAUACAGCCUCUCUAGACACAAACCAGACCAGUGGAGCAGAGCCAAUUGUACCUGGGUGGGGAAAAAAAACCAGGGAUGAUGGUUCAUAGAGGUGAUAAAAUAGAAACCAGGAAAAAUGUGGGGCUCUCUUCACUGGCAGGUGGAUGGAAAGGCAAGUUCUGCUUGGAGGCAGGGAGGCAGUGAUGUGAAGCUGGGCUGGGCAGAGAAGGCAGGGCUGAGAGCUGGAAAACGGGAGCCCCCAGAGAUAACGCCUUCGGUGGUGCAGGAAGAGAUGGUCACAGCAGAGUUGCGAAACUGGACUGACACUGCCCAGAGUGCCUGGUGCACAAAAGGGGCCCAAUAAAGAUGUGGUCUGUUGUUAGGAUUAUUGUGGGUGAGCAUCUUGGGGUUGUUCCUCUGACAACAAAAGGCAGAAAACCACAAGGAGAGGCCAAGAAGACCCAAGGAGAUGAGGGCAACCAGUGCCACCCACAGGCCAAAGCCCAGUUCAGUGCUUGACAGGUGGGAUGGGUCUUGGCCAGGGGGGCGGGGGGGUCGGAGCAAAGGGUUCCUUGGAUUAGGACCCCUGUGGUGUGUCUACC